rnacentral:rRNA from 1 species
CCUACGGUGGAAGCAGUGCGGAAUAUUGGUCAAUGGGCUUACGCCUGAACCAGCCAAGUCGCGUGAGGGAAGACUGCCCUAUGGGUUGUAAACCUCUUUUGUCAGGGGGCAACGCCGGCUACGUGUAGCCGGACUGAGAGUAGCUGAAGAAAAAGCAUCGGCAAACUCCGUGCCGGCAGCCGUGGUAAUACGGGGGAUGCGAGCGUUAUCCGGAUUUAUUGGGUUAAAAGGGUGCGUAGGCGGAAUGCCAAGUCAGCGGUAAAAUCGCGGGGCUCAACCUCGCCCCGCCGUUGAAACUGGCGUUCUUGAGUGGGCGAGAAGUAUGCGGAAUGCGUGGUGUAGCAGUGAAAUGCAUAGAUAUCGCGCAGAACUCCGAUUGCGAAGGCGGCAUACCGGCGCCCAACUGACGCUGAAGCACGAAGGCGUGGGUAGCGAACAGGAUUAGAUACCCGAGUAGUC